GUCUGUGUGCAUUCAAAUGUCAUUUGGAGAAUGAACCAAUAAGAAGAGUCCUAUCAAUCCCACCAAUAGAAAGCAAAUCCUUAGGAAAGCUUUGAGAUCUCCUUCUGAGCUGCUGACUCAUUUCUCCCACCCAGCUUAACAUGUCCAGCAGCAGAUACCACAGAAUACAGUGGAUGAGAAUGGAAAUACAAUUAAUCCUAAGCACUGAAUAAAAUAAACAAAAGAGAAAAGCUUCCUUGGAGAAAUCAGGCACAAGGGAAAUGUCUGAAGAUCUACAAAGAUGACACCAGCUAACUAUCUCAGCAAUGGGGGAGAGGCUACCUUAAAUGCCCUCCCCUGAUUAUGAGAUUGAUGACUGACUUAUAUGCCUUCAUCCAGCAGCUUGUGGAAGUAGAAGCAGACACCCAUAACUAAUCACCAAUCUGAACUCGAACCCAGAUGCAGAGAAGAACCAGUGAAGAGCACAGAGGUCCAGACCAUGCUGGUGAAACACACAGAAACAGCUUACCUGAACAUCCGGGUACUCCUGCUCCACAGUUUGAUAGCUGGAAUACCACCAGCAUGGGACUGAUCCAGACCCAAGGAACAUGGGUUUCAGUGAGGAAACCUCAGAAAUCUAUGGUACCUCCUGUGGAAGCCCAGUAUUCAUCCCUAGCAUUGGUGUGGUCUUUGGGAUCCCAGUCCAUAUAGAGGAAUACUCCCUGAGCCAAGACACAUGGGGGUGAGCCUAGGCCCUACCCCAAAGGAAAUGAAAGACUUUGAUGACACCCUAUAGAAGGCCUCACUAUCCAGGGGGAGCAGAAAGAUAUGUGACAAAUAAGGUUUUAGUUGGGGGGCAGGUAGGGGAGGACGGGUGGGAGAAGAGAAAUGGAAUUGUCAUGUAAAACAAUCCUAUUUCUAAUUCAAAUAAAAAAGUUGGAAAAAAAGUGAAGUAGUUAAAUACAAGAGUAUACACCGCCCCCCCAAAAAAAAACAGUUAGGCUUUUUGAGUUCUGUUCCUAAAUGUAAGGUAUUGUUGAGGGCUAGAUAUAGUUCAAGAAUUUUGCAUAUUGUUUCUAUUGUUGAAAAUUCCUGAGUUAAAGUGUGCUUUCAUAUAAAUAAGAUACUUGAGAUUCAGAUAUUUUUGUGGAAUACUACCUGAUAUGAGAUAAGUUUUCUUUUUAGACUUGAAUAAUUGAUUCUCACACAGCUGGGUUGCCUGGAAAAACCAUAUAGUGCAGACAUAUUUGUGAUUUAUGAUAUGUUUUCUCUUUGUAUAUAAAUAAGCUUGUGAAGUCUAGCUAAGUAAAAAAAAAAUAAAACUUACUCUUACCAAACUUUUCUUAUGUUCAGGAACACUAAGAUAGUUGUAUGCCUGGGUUUGAAUAAUGAGUGCUCUGAGAAUUUAGUCAAGAUUUACAAAUUUCAAAAUGAACCUGUUGCUGACUGAGAUGUCUACUUGACUAUCCACCAUAUAAAAAUAAAAUAAAAAUAGCAUAAUGUACAUAAUUCAAAGACCACAUCACUAACCAGUCUAUAUAUCAUUGCAUCCUUAUUCCUCUUAUGAUAUGGUCCUAUGUGUUAUUAUAAUUUAAAUUUUAUUUUAUGAAUACUGGAUGUAAAUAUCAAGCCCUUUCAGGUGUCCUAGGAGUUAUGCAUAACUACAAUAAGAGGAGGAUGUAGGAAAUGCCUGUAUAUUCUGUAUCUGACUCAGUGAAAAGUUUGCAUUAAAACAAUGGAAAUAAAGUAUGCAUCUAAGAAAUAUAUAUAUAUAUAUAUAUAUAUAUAUAUAUGUCUCAAUGUGUGUGUGUGUGUGUGUGUG
rnacentral:lncRNA from 1 species